GACGAACGCUGGCGGCGUGCUUAACACAUGCAAGUCGAACGGAAAGGCCCUGCUUUUGUGGGGUGCUCGAGUGGCGAAAGGGUGAGUAACACGUGAGUAACCUGCCCUUGACUUUGGGAUAACUUCAGGAAACUGGAGCUAAUAACGGAUAGGAGCUCCUGCUGCAUGGUGGGGGUUGGAAAGUUUCGGCGGUUGGGGAGGUACUCGCGGCUUAUCAGCUUGUUGGUGGGGUAGUGGCUUACCAAGGCGUUGAAGGGUAGCCGGCCUGAGAGGGUGACCGGCCACAUUGGGACUGAGAUACGGCCCAGACUCCUACGGGAGGCAGCAGUGGGGAAUAUUGCACAAUGGGCGGAAGCCUGAUGCAGCAACGCCGCGUGCGGGAUGACGGCCUUCGGGUUGUAAACCGCUUUCGCCUGUGACGAAGCGUGAGUGACGGUAAUGGGUAAAGAAGCACCGGCUAACUACGUG
rnacentral:rRNA from 1 species